AUGGAGAGGCCGGAAGAAAAGAGGAUACAAGACCGAGGGCCAAUAGAAGAGAAGGGGGGACUCGAGUAUGAAGAGUUAAAGAAAUGGAGGGCCAAAACUAAAGAAGAAAGGGAUCUACUUGAGGCUAAAGAAGAGAAGAAGGAGGGCAAAAGUGCCUGGCAUCUCCAUCUCCCUCACCCUCCUUCUCCACCUCCGGCCGCCGCCACGGCCAGGCCAGCGUGGUGGUGCGCCCCUCACCAUCACACCAUCACCACCAUCGCCGCCAGCCACGACCAUCUCCACCACGCACCACCAGCACCACUUCCCACGAGCCGCACCUCACACCACCACCAGCACCACGCCAUCUCCAUCUUCGCCGCCGCGCCACCGCUCGCACAAUCUCUUCUUCCCCUGCUGCUCCUUCCUUCUCCUCACCACGCUGCUGCUUCCCCUCUCACGCCCCUGGUACUGCUCCUUCUCACAUUCCUGCUGCUGCUGCUGCUCGUCUUGUGCCCCUGGUGCUGCUCCUCCUUCCCUCGUCCUUGCUGCUGCUCUCUCCCUCUCUGUUGCUCUUCUCUGAAUCCCCUACUGCUGCUACUCCACUUCCUGUGCUCCCCUUCUUCUUCUAUGAAUCUCGCUGCUGCUGCUCCUCCUCUUAAAACGGCUGCUGCUCCCUCUCCCACUUUCCUCGCUGCUGUUCCCUCUCUCUUCUCACCAAAAUUGCUGAUGUCCUCUUCUCCAUUUGCGUGCUGCCACACCCUUCCUGAAGCUCUCUCAACUUUAUUUUGUUCUGUAUUAGUACUAUUUUGUCUAUGGUUCAAUCUUUUAGUUAUUGUUGUACUGAUAUAUGUUAAGGUUGGAUUAUCCUCUCGGCUAUGGCUUACUAUUCAGGCUUAUGCGAGGAACACUACAAACAGCACGGAAAGUGUUCAAGAACUGAUAGGUAAGAUUUCCCAUCGAUUAGAUGAUUUAGCUCGGCAGCGAGAAGGAGUUUUUGAGGAUAGGCCUAGUUCUUACGAUCCUUAUUCCAGAGGCCAUCCUUAUGUUGCUCCUACUUGCCAUAUUUGUGGAUUUCAGGGCCAUUCGCCCGCUGAAUGUCAGCGUGGUUACUCCCAUCCUACGGAUUGUUUUGGCAUGAGCUUCGCUCAACAGCAUAGCUCAUACCAAAACAAUUACUCACAUGGGUGGCCUGAAAGCCUGAAUAUGUCAUAUAGGAGCAACAACCCUAAGAUCUCACAGUUUGGUUCUAGUAAUCAUAUGCAGGGAUUUAGGUACAAUGAGGAGAGCCACAACUAUGCACCACAACAAUUCCAUUCAGCUCCUACUCAUAUACCACAGCACCAGGAGAUGUGUCCAAUGGAGUUAAAUGGUCCUCCAUUUGGUCAACCAACAACUCCAGCACCUGUUGUGCAAUCUCAUGUGCAAGUGCCCACACAAGAUGAGUUCAAUGACAUAGACAAGCUCACACUUUUGAGUCUCGAGUUCACUUGGAGUGCCGAGGAUGAUCCUAUUAGGAAGGUUAUACUAGAUGAAAUGAAGAAGAUCAAGAGUGGAAAAGAGCUAGUGGAAGAAGUAAGGAAGAUUGAGAACAACAUCAACACUGGCAGCACUAUUUCUUCACAGCUAGAGCUGAGUGUUGCCGAGAUUCCCCUUGAUACAUGUGAGGUUCCAACACCGUCACAUCCAGUUGAGCAAGAUAGUAAGAGUCCAGAGGAAGAAAGACCUCAGAUUGAAGAAGAUGAACUAGAAGACAAGGAACAAGAUGAUCAAGAGCUGCAAUUCCCAAGUGAUCAAGUUGAAGACUCAUCAUCUACUACUCCUAAAGAAGUACAAGAAGCUGCUGUAGAUGAAGAUGAAGAACAUGAGAUUCAUUUGCCUAUUGUCAUACCAGAGCGUGAUGUGUCAGGUUUACCCAAUCCUCUUGAUGACAUGAUGCCUUGUAAUUUCUUUGCUACUACCUUGCAUUACAUGAUACCAUCAAUUAAGCUAGACUUGAAAAAUUAUUUGCUUGGACAUGAUCAUACAUACAUUGUUGGUGGCAUUGCUCUCAUUCCUGAUGAUGACACUUAUUUUCCUUAUGCUAGUUCUAUGCUUAAUGAAACAUAUUAUUCCCAUGCUAGUCUUGAGCUUAAUGAUAAAUUUCAUCCUCAUGUUAGUGUCGACCUUGCUGAUUUCUACCAUCCUAAACAUGUGCUUUAUAGUUAUGCUUAUAUAAUUGGAUAUUACAUUGAUGACUUGGAGGGCAUCGACCGUAUCACUUGUAGUUGUUUGUGUGAGUCCUAUUUCAGGCUUUUGCUACUGCACUGUUUACUACAUGCUGACCAGGUUCGAGGUGUAUACCAUGUUCUCGGGAUCGGUGGUGUAUACCAUGUUCUCGGGAUCGGUGGUAUGUUCCUUCGAAAGAGGAUACAAGACCGAGGGCCAAUAGAAGAGAAGGGGGGACUCGAGUAUGAAGAAUUAAAGAAAUGGAGGGCCAAAACUAAAGAAGAAAGGGAUCUACUUGAGGCUAAAGAAGAGAAGAAGGAGGGCAAAAGUGCAAAAAUGCAGAUCUGGGAGGGGAUCAAAAUCCCUAGCCGCAUCUCCAUUGCAAUCAGGCCUGGCAUCUCCAUCUCCCUCACCCUCCUUCUCCACCUCCGGCCGCCGCCACGGCCAGGCCGGCGUGGUGGUGCGCCCCUCACCAUCACACCAUCACCAUCGCCUCUAGCCACGACCAUCUCCACCAUGCACCACCAGCACCACUUCCCACGAGCCGCACCUCACACCACCACCAGCACCACGCCAUCUCCAUCUUCGCCGCCGCGCCACCGCUCGCACAAUCUCUUCUUCCCCUGCUGCUCCUUCCUUCUCCUCACCACGCUGCUGCUUCCCCUCUCACGCCCCUGGUACUGCUCCUUCUCACGUUCCUGCUGCUGCUGCUCGUCUUGUGCCCCUGGUGCUGCUCCUCCUUCCCUCGUCCUUGCUGCUGCUCUCUCCCUCUCUGUUGCUCUUCUCUGA
rnacentral:rRNA from 1 species